GGGGCUGCGGAAAGGGGCUGGGCUGGGCUGGGCUGGGCUGGGCUGGCUGCAGCUCUAGUCC
rnacentral:miRNA from 1 species